AGAGUUUGAUCCUGGCUCAGGACGAACGCUGGCGGCGUGCCUAAUACAUGCAAGUAGAACGCUGAAGUCUGGUGCUUGCACUAGACGGAUGAGUUGCGAACGGGUGAGUAACGCGUAGGUAACCUGCCUCAUAGCGGGGGAUAACUAUUGGAAACGAUAGCUAAUACCGCAUAACAGUAUUUACCGCAUGGUAGAUAUUUGAAAGGAGCAAUUGCUUCACUAUGAGAUGGACCUGCGUUGUAUUAGCUAGUUGGUGAGGUAACGGCUCACCAAGGCUUCGAUACAUAGCCGACCUGAGAGGGUGAUCGGCCACACUGGGACUGAGACACGGCCCAGACUCCUACGGGAGGCAGCAGUAGGGAAUCUUCGGCAAUGGGGGCAACCCUGACCGAGCAACGCCGCGUGAGUGAAGAAGGUUUUCGGAUCGUAAAGCUCUGUUGUAAGGGAAGAACUGUGAGAAGAGUGGAAAGUUUCUCACUUGACGGUAUCUUACCAGAAAGGGACGGCUAACUACGUGCCAGCAGCCGCGGUAAUACGUAGGUCCCGAGCGUUGUCCGGAUUUAUUGGGCGUAAAGCGAGCGCAGGCGGUUUGAUAAGUCUGAAGUAAAAGGCUGUGGCUUAACCAUAGUACGCUUUGGAAACUGUCAAACUUGAGUGCAGAAGGGGAGAGUGGAAUUCCAUGUGUAGCGGUGAAAUGCGUAGAUAUAUGGAGGAACACCGGUGGCGAAAGCGGCUCUCUGGUCUGUAACUGACGCUGAGGCUCGAAAGCGUGGGGAGCGAACAGGAUUAGAUACCCUGGUAGUCCACGCCGUAAACGAUGAGUGCUAGGUGUUGGGUCCUUUCCGGGACUCAGUGCCGCAGCUAACGCAUUAAGCACUCCGCCUGGGGAGUACGACCGCAAGGUUGAAACUCAAAGGAAUUGACGGGGGCCCGCACAAGCGGUGGAGCAUGUGGUUUAAUUCGAAGCAACGCGAAGAACCUUACCAGGUCUUGACAUCCCGAUGACCGCCCUAGAGAUAGGGUUUCUCUUCGGAGCAUCGGUGACAGGUGGUGCAUGGUUGUCGUCAGCUCGUGUCGUGAGAUGUUGGGUUAAGUCCCGCAACGAGCGCAACCCCUAUUGUUAGUUGCCAUCAUUCAGUUGGGCACUCUAGCGAGACUGCCGGUAAUAAACCGGAGGAAGGUGGGGAUGACGUCAAAUCAUCAUGCCCCUUAUGACCUGGGCUACACACGUGCUACAAUGGCUGGUACAACGAGUCGCAAGUCGGUGACGGCAAGCUAAUCUCUUAAAGCCAGUCUCAGUUCGGAUUGUAGGCUGCAACUCGCCUACAUGAAGUCGGAAUCGCUAGUAAUCGCGGAUCAGCACGCCGCGGUGAAUACGUUCCCGGGCCUUGUACACACCGCCCGUCACACCACGAGAGUUUGUAACACCCGAAGUCGGUGAGGUAACCUUUUAGGAGCCAGCCGCCUAAGGUGGGAUAGAUGAUUGGGGUGAAGUCGUAACAAGGUAGCCGUAUCGGAAGGUGCGGCUG
rnacentral:rRNA from 4 species